rnacentral:rRNA from 1 species
GACGAACGCUGGCGGCGUGCUUAACACAUGCAAGUCGAACGGAAAGGCCCUGCUUUUGUGGGGUGCUCGAGUGGCGAACGGGUGAGUAACACGUGGGUAACCUGCCCUUGACUUUGGGAUAACUUCAGGAAACUGUGGCUAAUACCGGAUAGGAGCUCCUGCUGCAUGGUGGGGGUUGGAAAGUUUCGGCGGUUGGGGAUGGACUCGCGGCUUAUCAGCUUGUUGGUGGGGUAGUGGCUUACCAAGGCUUUGACGGGUAGCCGGCCUGAGAGGGUGACCGGCCACAUGGGGACUGAGAUACGGCCCAGACUCCUACGGGGAGCAGCAGUGGGGAAUAUUGCACAAUGGGCGGAAGCCUGAUGCAGCAACGCCGCGUGCGGGAUGACGGCCUUCGGGUUGUAAACCGCUUUCGCCUGUGACGAAGCGUGAGUGACGGUAAUGGGUAAAGAAGCACCGGCUAACUACGUG